GCGGGACUGAGAGGUUGACCCGCCACAUCGGGACUGAGACACUGCCCGGACCUCCACGGAGGGCUGCAGUAACGAAUAUUGCGCAAUGGGCGAAAGCCUGACGCAGCGACGCCGCGUGUAGGACGAAGCCCCUCGGGGUGUAAACUACUGUCAGGGGUUAGAAAGUCGGAGCAAUCCGAUUGAUCAGCCCCAGAGGAAGUCACGGCUAACUUCGUGCCAGCAGCCGCGGUAAUACGAAGGUGGCUAGCGUUGUUCGGUGUCACUGGGCUUAAAGCGCUCGUAGGCGGGACCGUAAGUGUUUUGUGAAAUCCCCCGGCUCAACCGGGGAAUGGCAGGGCAUACUGCGGUCCUUGAGGCAAACAGGGGUGCAUGGAACUCUUGGUGGAGCGGUGGAAUGCGUAGAUAUCAAGAGGAACGCCGAUGGUGAAGACAAUGCACUGGGUUUGUCCUGACGCUGAGGAGCGAAAGCGUGGGGAGCAAACAGGAUUAGAUACCCUGGUAGUCCACGCCCUAAACGAUGUUUACUAGGUUGUAGAGGAUCUGACGCCUUUACAGUCGGAGCAAAAGUGUUAAGUAAACCGCCUGGGGAGUACGGUCGCAAGGCUAAAACUUAAAGGAAUUGACGG
rnacentral:rRNA from 1 species